AAUCAAAUGGAGGGAUCAGAAAUGAUUGAUAGUCCACCAGAGAAUUUAAUGAGAUUGGUUUAAACAGCCAAAUCCUAUUAAAUAAAAAUAAGCUAAGUAUUCCUAAAGAGGUUGUUUUCAUUUAAAGGCUGAGUUCAACCUCUUUUUUG
rnacentral:sRNA from 23 species